UACGUAGGGGGCAAGCGUUAUCCGGAUUUACUGGGUGUAAAGGGAGCGUAGACGGAUAAGCAAGUCUGAUGUGAAAAUCCGGGGCCCAACCCCGGAAUUGCAUUGGAAACUGCAUAUCUAGGGUGUCGGAGAGGCAAGUGGAAUUCCUGGUGUAGCGGUGAAAUGCGUAGAUAUCAGGAGGAACACCAGUGGCGAAGGCGGCUUGCUGGACGAUGACUGACGUUGAGGCUCGAAAGCGUGGGGAGCAAACAGG
rnacentral:rRNA from 1 species